UACGGAGGGGGCUAGCGUUGUUCGGAAUUACUGGGCGUAAAGCGCACGUAGGCGGCUUUGCAAGUCAGAGGUGAAAGCCCGGGGCUCAACCCCGGAAUUGCCUUUGAGACUGCAUCGCUAGAAUUGUGGAGAGGUAAGUGGAAUUCCGAGUGUAGAGGUGAAAUUCGUAGAUAUUCGCAAGAACACCAGUGGCGAAGGCGGCUCACUGGCCCGGAACUGACGCUGAGACGCGAAAGCGUGGGGAGCAAACAGG
rnacentral:rRNA from 1 species